AGACUACUGACAAUUCAAAGGCAGACAAUUCUAGGGAGUCAUCAGUUAAAGUUAAUGCAUCCAUAGUUGAAGAUAUUGUUGCAGUUAGCGAGACAAGUUUGAGUGACGAUCCUGACAGAAACUGCCCCAGUACUCCUCAAAAGUCCAUGAUUGAUAAUUCAAUGGAACCUGGGUUUAAUGCUGCUGGUGAGACAAAUACAAUUCUGGAGACUACUGAAAAUUCCAAGGAAGACAAUUCUAGGAAGUCAUUAGAUAAAGUCAAUGCACCCAUAAAUGAAGAUAUUGUUGCAGUUAGCGAGAGAAGUUUGAGUGACGAUCCUGACAGAAACUGCACCAGUACUCCUCAAAAGUCCAUGAUUGAUAAUUCAAUGGAACCUGGGUUUAAUGCUGCUGGAGAGACAAAUACAAUUCUGGAGACUACUGAAAAUUCCAAGGAAGACAAUUCUAGGAAGUCAUUAGAUAAAGUCAAUGCACCCAUAAAUGAAGAUAUUGUUGCAGUUAGCGAGAGAAGUUUGAG
rnacentral:lncRNA from 1 species